AGAGUUUGAUCAUGGCUCAGGAUGAACGCUAGCGGCAGGCUUAAUACAUGCAAGUCGAGGGGCAGCACGGUUAGCAAUAACUGGUGGCGACCGGCGCACGGGUGCGUAACGCGUAUGCAAUCUACCUUUAACAGAGGGAUAGCCCCGAGAAAUCGGGAUUAAUACCUCAUAAUAUUAUUGAUUGGCAUCAAUUGAUAAUCAAAGCUGAGGCGGUUAGAGAUGAGCAUGCGUGACAUUAGCUAGUUGGUGAGGUAAUGGCUCACCAAGGCGACGAUAUCUAGGGGUUCUGAGAGGAUGAUCCCCCACACUGGUACUGAGACACGGACCAGACUCAUACGGGAGGCAGCAGUAGGGAAUAUUGGUCAAUGGGCGAGAGCCUGAACCAGCCAUGCCGCGUGCAGGAAGACGGCCUUAUGGGUUGUAAACUGCUUUUAUCAGGGAAUAAACCUAUCUACGAGUAGAUAGCUGAAGGUACCUGAAGAAUAAGCAUCGGCUAACUCCGUGCCAGCAGCCGCGGUAAUACGGAGGAUGCAAGCGUUAUCCGGAUUCAUUGGGUUUAAAGGGUGCGCAGGCGGAUUGAUAAGUCAGUGGUGAAAUUCAACGGCUCAACUGUUGACCUGCCAUUGAUACUGUUAGUCUAGAGUAUAGUUGGAGUGGGCGGAAUGUGUCAUGUAGCGGUGAAAUGCUUAGAUAUGACACAGAACACCGAUCGCGAAGGCAGCUCACUAAACUAAAACUGACGCUCAUGCACGAAAGCGUGGGGAUCAAACAGGAUUAGAUACCCUGGUAGUCCACGCUGUAAACGAUGAUUACUCGAUGUUGGCGAUACACAGUCAGCGUCUGAACGAAAGUAUAAGUAAUCCACCUUGGAAUAUCCUACCGGCACAAGCCGGGGAGCAUGUGGUUUAAUUCGAUGAUACGCGAGGAACUUAACUUAGACUUAAAUGUAGAUUGCUGUAGGGGAAACUUAUUUUCAGCAAUGACAAUUUACAAGGUGCUGCAUGGUUGUCGUCAGCUCGUGCCGUGAGGUGUCAGGUUAAGUCCUAUAACGAGCGCAACCCCUAUUCUUAGUUGCCAGCAUGUAAUGAUGGGGACUCUAAGGAAACUGCCUACGCAAGUAGAGAGGAAGGUGGGGAUGACGUCAAAUCAGCACGGCCCUUACGUCUAGGGCUACACACGUGCUACAAUGGUAGGUACAGAGGGCAGCUACACGGUGACGUGAUGCCAAUCUCCAAAGCCUAUCUCAGUUCGGAUCGAAGUCUGCAACCCGACUUCGUGAAGUUGGAUUCGCUAGUAAUCGCAUAUCAGCCAUGAUGCGGUGAAUACGUUCCCGGGCCUUGUACACACCGCCCGUCAAGCCAUGGGAGCUUGGGGUGCCUGAAGUCCGUAACCGCAAGGAGCGGCCUAGGGUAAAACGAGUGACUAGGGCUAAGUCGUAACAAGGUAACC
rnacentral:rRNA from 1 species